AACAUGCCCUUGAUGUUUUA
rnacentral:siRNA from 1 species